AGGCUGCAGCAUAUGCUGUGACGGAAACUGUAAUGGCUACGUGCACGCCCAGAGAAAAACUGCUGGAACGUGUUCGCCCAGAGAAGCGUGGCGACGUGCGCGCCCAGAGAAGCGUGGCGACGUGCGCGCCCAGAGAAGCGUGGCGACGUGCGCGCCCAGAGAAGCGCGGCGACGUGUGCGCCCAGAGAAGCGCGGCGACGUGUGCGCCCAGAGAAGCGCGGCGACGUGUGCGC